rnacentral:rRNA from 1 species
GACGAACGCUGGCGGCGUGCUUAACACAUGCAAGUCGAACGGAAAGGCCCUGCUUUUGUGGGGUGCUCAAGUGGCGAACGGGUGAGUAACACGUGAGUAACCUGCCCUUGACUUUGGGAUAACUUCAGGAAACUGGGGCUAAUACCGGAUAGGAGCUCCUGCUGCAUGGUGGGGGUUGGAAAGUUUCGGCGGUUGGGGAUGGACUCGCGGCUUAUCAGCUUGUUGGUGGGGUAGUGGCUUACCAAGGCUUUGACGGGUAGCCGGCCUGAGAGGGUGACCGGCCACAUUGGGACUGAGAUACGGCCGAGACUCCUACGGGAGGCAGCAGUGGGGAAUAUUGCACAAUGGGCGGAAGCCUGAUGCAGCAACGCCGCGUGCGGGAUGACGGCCUUCGGGUUGUAAACCGCUUUCGCCUGUGACGAAGCGUGAGUGACGGUAAUGGGUAAAGAAGCACCGGCUAACUACGUG